AAAGUGCUAAAUUAGUAAUAGUUAAAUUCUUAAAAAUUAAAAAAUUUGGCGGUAAUUUAAUCUUUUCAGAGGAAUUUGUUUUUUAAUCGAUAAACCACGAAGAAUCUUACUUAUUUUUGUUAUAAUAACCAGUUUGUAUACCAUCAUUAUCAGGUAAUUCUUAAAAGAAAAAUUACUAAAUGUAAAUUAUUAUAAAAAUUAGAUCAUGGUGCAGCUUAUAAAUAAGGUAAAAUGAAUUACAAUAAAUUAUUUUAAAAUGGAUUAAUAAUGUAAGAAGUUAUUAUGAAGGAGGAUUUGAUUGUAUUAUAAGUUUAAUAAGCUUAUAGGAUAAAAGCUCUAAAUUGUGUACAUAUCGCCCGUCGCUUUCAUUUAUAAUGAAAUAAGUCGUAACAUA
rnacentral:rRNA from 1 species